rnacentral:rRNA from 1 species
AUGCACGCUGGCGGCGUGCCUAAUCCCUGCCAGUCGAGCGAACAGACGAGGAGCUUGCUCCUCUGACGUUAGCGGCGGACGGGUGAGUAACACGUGGAUAACCUACCUAUAAGACUGGGAUAACUUCGGGAAACCGGAGCUAAUACCGGAUAAUAUAUUUAACCGCUUGGUUCAAUAGUGAAAGACGGUUUUGCUGUCACUUAUAGAUGGAUCCGCGCCGCCUUAGCUAGUUGGUAAGGUAACGGCUUACCAAGGCAACGCUGCGUAGCCGACCUGAGAGGGUGAUCGGCCACACUGGAACUGAGACACGGUCCAGACUCCUACGGGAGGCAGCAGUAGGGAAUCUUCCGCAAUGGGCGAAAGCCUGACGGAGCAACGCCGCGUGAGUGAUGAAGGUCUUCGGAUCGUAAAACUCUGUUAUUAGGGAAGAACAAAUGUGUAAGUAACUAUGCACGUCUUGACGGUACCUAAUCAGAAAGCCACGGCUAACUACGUG